rnacentral:rRNA from 1 species
GACGGAGGAUGCAAGUGUUAUCCGGAAUCACUGGGCGUAAAGCGUCUGUAGGUGGUUCGAAAAGUCCACUGUUAAAAAUUGAGGCUUAACUUCAAAGAUGCCGUGGAAACUUUCAAACUAGAGUAUGGUAGGGGUAGAGGGAAUUUCCAGUGGAGCGGUGAAAUGCGUAGAGAUCAGCAGGAACACCCGUGGCGAAGGCGGCCCCCUGGGCCGAACCUGACGCUGAGGCGCGAAGGCUAGGGGAGCGAACGGG